GACGAACGCUGGCGGCGUGCUUAACACAUGCAAGUCGAACGAUGAACCCGGAGCUUGCUCCGGUGGAUUAGUGGCGAACGGGUGAGUAACACGUGAGUAACCUGCCCUUGACUCUGGGAUAACUGCGGGAAACUGUAGCUAAUACCGGAUACGACCCUCGGCGGCAUCGCCAGGGGGUGGAAAGAAUUUCGGUCAAGGAUGGACUCGCGGCCUAUCAGCUAGUUGGUGAGCUAACGGCUCACCAAGGCGACGACGGGUAGCCGGCCUGAGAGGGGGAGCGGCCACGCGGGGACUGAGACACGGCCCAGAGUCCUACGGGAGGCAGCAGUGGGGAAUAUUGCGCAGUGGGCGCAAGCCUGAUGCAGCAAAGCCGCGUGAGGGAUGACGGCCUUCGGGUUAUAAACCUCUUUUAGUAGGGAAGAAGCGAAAGUGACGGUACCUGCAGAAAAAGCACCGGCUAACUACGUGCCAGCCGCCGCAGUAA
rnacentral:rRNA from 1 species